rnacentral:rRNA from 1 species
GUACGCUGGCGGCACGCCUAACACAUGCAAGUCGAACGAAGUGCAAUACUUAGUGGCAGACGGGUGAGUAACAUGUAGGUAUCUGCCCUUUGGCCUGGAAUAACACGAGGAAACUUGUGCUAAUACCGGAUAAGUCUUUACGGAGAAAGCUUUAUGCACCAUUGGAUGAGCCUGCACUUGAUUAGUUUGUUGGUGGGGUAAUGGCCUACCAAGACUGUGAUCAAUAGCUGAUUUGAGAGGAUGAUCAGCCACAUUGGGACUGAGACACGGCCCAAACUCCUACGGGAGGCAGCAGUGGGGAAUCUUGCACAAUGGAGGAAACUCUGAUGCAGCGAUGCCGCGUGAGUGAAGAAGGCCCUUGGGUUGUAAAGCUCUUUCGUCGGGGAAGACAAUGACUGUACCCGAAUAAGAAGGUCCGG